CCAACGUGUGGAAGGCCGAGUGGUCAGACUGGCUGGGCUCAGGUACAGCACCUGUCUAGCAGGUGCAAGGCCCCGGGUUCCUUCCUCUGUGCUGAGGAGGAGGAGGAGAGGAAGAAAGGGAAGGAGAAGGAGGGGGACCAGGAGGUGGCGUCCCUCAAAUGAUCUCUCCUGGGACUGUUACUUACUGCCUCUAUUGGGGUCUAACUGGUACUUGGUCAAAUGUGUCAAUUGUAGGCUCGGUACGAGGACCUCUUCCCGCGUCUACACCCGAGACUCCCAUCCGUUUUUUUCUUUCUUUUCCUGGUACUGGGACUUGAACUCAUGGCCUUGCACUUGCCAGGCAUGCACUGUUCCGCUGAGCUGCAUCCCUGGCCCUACCAGGACUCCCAUCUGAAUCAGGACUUGGACCUUGUGUGUCACAAGGGGGUCUGCUGGUGCCCUCUGCAGGCGCAACCCUCUCUCUGCAGUGAUCCCGGGGGUGGGGUGUAUCACUCAGCACAGGAGGAGGCUCCCAGGACGUGGGCUGUGAGCUGAACAAGUGAGCCGCAUAGGUGCUGUUGUGUCCGGCUGGCGCCCUUCCUCCACCAUGGAGCUUUGUGCACUCAGUGCCCCUCUGCUAGCCCAGAGGAUUCGUAUCCAUGCAAACACUGAUUGUCUGCCCACUCUGCCUCUCAUUAUCUCUAAUGCCCACACCGGAGCUGUUAGGACCAAUUGCAAACAUGCAGGGGCCAGGUCCAACUUCCCAGCCCCCUGAACAGAGUGGCUCUCCGGGCAUCACACCCAGAGUGACAGCGUCUGUGUGCACCAGCUGUCAGACCUGGGCCACCUGCUGGCACCAAAGACUCCUGUUUAUGGGGACAAUGGAGAAGGGCAACAGAGGAGUGAGGUGUGCGGAAGGGGUACCCUAAGAAGCAGGGGGCUGACUUGGUGGGAGCAGGAACCCAGCACCUCUUUCUGCAUCUCACUGAACUCUUUUCAUUAAAAACUGGAGCUUUCCAACUUCAGGUUAAGAUUUUCAUUUGCUGCUCUGUACAAUAAUUUGGAAAGUCAUUUUAGUUGGACUUCCUGGAGAGAAGGCUGCUUCUGCCAAUCCGCCAGGAGCAGGGGGCCGGGAAGGAGGAAAAGCUUUUAGGGUUUAGACCUUUGUCCUUCUUUCCUCACAUCCUGAAGACAACACCAACUAAUUCACAGGCAUCAAGCAAGCUUUGGAUUGUUGUGGGUGACACAGAGGAGGCAAAAAGCCAUUAUGACUGUAAUCGAAAUGAAUCUUCCAAACCACAUUGAAGAAGAAAUCGUCCUAUUUUCCACCCAGAGAGGUGCAAAGAAAAGAGAAUAGAUGCACGCAAGGCUUUCAGCCUGAGGUUGCAAAAGAUGUCUCUCAGCCCAGGAAAUGGGAUGAUCGUGAACAUCACCAAAUAGUGGCUGCGUUAUGGGAUGUUUCUUAGUGAGAGGUUCUGUGGUUGCACUUAAAAAACAAUUCCACGUUGAUACAGCUUUAGUUCUACAGAAUUCCAGCAAAGCAACUCGUGUGUGAGGCCCAGGCCAACUCCUGGGUCGCAGUGACUCCUGCUUGCAAUAUGGGGGUAAGGGGUGUUAGGCUUUAGGUGUCUUUCAGAGAACUUCCUUCAUGUUGCAGUGGCAUUUAAAAAACAUAUUUACUUUUGGGUUUCAGAGACAGGGUCUCACUACGAAGCCCAGGCUGCCCUUGAAUUUGUGGUGAUCCUCCUGCCUCAGCCUUCCCAGAGCUGGCAUUAUAGCAGUGUGCCACCACUCCCAGCUGUAAUGGCGUUUUAAAAAGUAGGAUUCGACCUGUCUCUGCAGUGUUCACUUUAGCAAUUACCAAAUAAAAGUUGU
rnacentral:lncRNA from 1 species